CAUUCUGUGAUAAAUCUCUUGAGAAUCUUUUAAUCAUCACAACCGCUCUCUUGACCAGGCUCGGGACAUACACCUUGUGUAACAUACCUAGGUAUCCUGGCUGUUAUCUCUCACAAACCUCAGGCUUCUGUGGACUCAGUACUGGAGAAACACAUCUUGCAGCUGAGGUACCACAUGUGGAAUAGAGCUGCCAUCUUGAUGUUUUAGCAGACACAGGGAGAGUAGAAGAACCUCCAGCCAAGCUCAGUCCAGGUGGAUGAAUCAUAAAAAGCAAACCUCUGUUAGAUGACUAAAGAUGGGUCCUUUUCUUUUCUUUAUUUCAUCUUCUUUUUUUUUUUUUUUAGCACAAUGGAGGAUAAUUGAAGCAUUCUGUACCCAGCUUCCAGCUGACAUAGAUGGGUUGUUUUCCCUACCUUCGGGCUCUUCUUGAUUUCUUGGCCCAGCCCUCCCGUCCUCUCUACAUCAGCUACCUGUGGCGCAGAGCUGAGAGUACCUACCCACCCAGUUCUUUGUGUAGCCAAGUGUAAUUAAUUAAUUAGUCCCACACAAGCAUUUCCAUUGAUCUCCAGUCUCCUCCUUUCAUCAAGAACCCUUACAGCUGGGGCAUUAAGCAUUGAGCAAGUGUGACAGGGGCAAUGGCAGAUACAGAGCCCCACCUCUAGCUGUCAGUCACAGGAGAUGCUGAAGGCAUGGCUGCCAUGACAACUGAACUCAUCCAAAACAAACAUGCUUCAUAUCUGUUAGGACUUCACUAUGAAGUAUCCCCCACGUGCUCCCAGACCACAGCUGAUGGCACUAUUUUGAGAAGUAGUGAAAACUUUAGGGACGGGGCAGAGCUGGAAGCAGUAAGUUUCUGGUAGAACGUGUCUUCCUACUCCAUCAUCCACUUCUGCCAUGAUGCUCCAUGGCGCCCCGCUUUACCACGUGCCCAGAAACAACAGAACCAGCCAUGGGUCAAGCCUUUCCUCUCUGGCAUUGCUUAUGUUGGGUAUUUGGUCACAGUGGUGACAAAAUUUAUCAACUUGCCUGUGCUACCUGAAAAGCAAAUCCCUCAACAUGUCAAGGAGUGAGUGAGGCAAGGACAAGCCGGAAGAACAGAUGCUUCCAGGUGCUUCCAUUUGGCCAGAUGCCCCAGAUAAGAGUGGCUGCUCUGUGGUGCCAGCCUUCAGUCUCUUUCAUCUCAAGCGGGGCUUGUGGAGGAAGAAACACAUUUUGCUGGCCAUUUGGGUGACUACUGAGGGACACAGCAAGCUCUUUUGAAGCAUGACUUACUCUUCAGGCCAGGCUGUCUGACCCUCAAACUCCACAGCAGAAACUCUGUGACUAAGGUAUGUGCUGCGCUGUGGGACUCUGAACCUCGUCCUUGGGCAGCGAGCACUUCCCCGCGGAGCUGCCUCCCUGGCUCAUCAGUGAGGACUGGUUUAGAGCAGAAGAUACAGGAUAGAAGCCCCAGCUCAGAGAGAGUAGAUCCACCCUUCUUCGUGCCCUCCAUAGGCCAUUCGUACAUUGAUGUCCACCCUCAAGGUGAGGGCUGUCUUCUUUACUGUCUUCCAGUUCAAACGCUGAUCUCGUCCUCACAAGCAUGCCUGGAAAUGUUUUCUUAGCUACCUGAAGGUCCCUUCGCCCAGGCAAGUAGACAACGUUAAUCAGCACUAACUGGUCCUUCACUCGUUUGUCCAUUGAUCCGCAGACAGCAAGUGGCAGGCACUGGUCACACAUUUGCUGGGAUGACAAAGUCUGCUUGACUCACACGCCAGCCGGUGCCACUUCCGGGGCCGAGCAUCUCUCUGCUCUCUUCUCUACGUUGAUUGUAAGAGCUGUGAAAGUCAUGAAGCCGUGAGGCAGGAAGGGAGCUGGGAAAUGAGCACAGUUCUGCCAUCCCCAAACCACUGCUUCCGCUCCAUCCCUCCACCUUUGUCAGGCUUGGACAAAUGCAACAACCGCUUUCUGCUGCAGAAUGACUGGCCCGAUGCUCCUAAAUACGAAGAGCCAAUUUUCCCGUCUCUGUGUUCUCCCUCUUCAUCAGCACAGGACUGACCAUCGAGGAACUGGGAUGGGAAGGACUUGGGAGGAGAAUGCCCACACUGCAAGCUGGAGCCUUCUCAGAGAAAGGCCAGAGUUUGGUGACGCUGAGGCAGCCUGAGUGAAGCUGAAUUGCUCUGGGAAGACUAGGGACUCCCUCUCAGCAAGCGCCUUACCCACGAAGUCAUCUCCUCAGACCCCUCAGGAGGAUUUGGAGUUCCUCUCUAUAUUGAACCAACUUAGCUGAAGCAGGAAUCCAAAGCAGAGAGAGACAAUCUGGAUUUGCCGUUGAAGGCCAAGAGACAAUCACUGGGAGGCUCAUGAGAAUGUUUGUGCUCCUGGCCUCAGGAUUUGAAAGCAGAUGUGACUACUUAGGAGACCAGCCCAAGGUGGGCAGGAACCACGUGCAUGUGGAGUGUGAGGCCAGACACAUGGUCUUCCUGAGGUCUGCUCUCAACAACAGCCAGAAGCCUCCUGUGGGCUUCCCACUCAUCUGGUGUUUGGGGAUGAUGAAUCUUGCCCUACUCUCUUCCAGGAAUACAGGAAGAAGUAAACAGUCCACAAUGUUUUAAGGAAUGUACUAAGCAAAUGUGAGAGAUUUGAUUAUUAACCAGACCCAUCUCUGAGACAGUUGAGACAUUUCAGCUACCCCUUCUAGCUGCAGAAAUAAUGAUUUGGUCACAUAAUAUGUCAAUGGUUGGACUUGCUGUUUUGUGUCUAAUGAAAGCAGAGAGCUCAUGAACUCUACAGAGGUCAAAUUUUAUACAAUGGCAGUUUUCUAAACAGUCUACCAACAAAGAAUAUGUAAAUAAAGAUUUAUCCAUAUCAUGAAAU